UGCAUCUCAAAAAUGCUUUUCUAAUCCAAUAUAUCUCCUCACUCCUAUUGUCUUCUCUUUAGUCUAGGCCCUCACUUGUGAUCAACCUGAUCAGUCUGUCCCCAGUCCAUCCAUCAGUUAUACUGCCACCAAAAUUAUCUUCUUAAAAAAUGCAGAAAAAAAAACCCUUAUUGACUCCUCAUUGAUUAGUGAAUCUGAUUCUCCAAGUGUGUAGCAGCUGCAGUAUCCCUGGGAACUUGCUAGAAAUGCAAAUUCUCUGCCCCCACCCCAGACGUGAUGAAUCAGAAACUCAGGUGAUGGGCCCCCCACCCCCCGCAAUCGGUUUCAACAAGCCCUCCAUGUGACUCUCGUGCAAGCUCAAUUUAGGAGAUCCCAAACAAUCAAAUCCAACUUCAUAGCUGUUCCCCUCAGCCUUGAAUUACUUAGUCUCAACUUCCCCUUUUCCACAGUCCUAAAGUCUUCAUUACCCCAAACCUUCCACUUUUCUUUGCAUACAUUAGGCCCUUUCCCCAUUCUGCACUUUUCCCCCAGGCUG
rnacentral:lncRNA from 1 species